AUGGUAUUUGGUACGGGGGCCCAGCAAGAUGCUGUUAGUGGUCAGUCUUUGACCUCCUCAGAUUCUGUGGUGAAAAAACCUGAAGAAUCAUCGACUCUGUCCUGCACUCUGUCUGGUUUCUCAAUGAGCAGCUACUGGAUGCACUGGAUCCAUCAGAAACCAGGGAAAGGACUGGAGUGGAUUGGGGGUAUAGCUGGCUCAACUGUAUAUUAUGCUCAGUCUCUACAGGGCCAGUUCUCCAUCACCACAGACACCAGCAAAGACAUGCUGUAUUUAGAGGUGAAAAGCCUGAAGACUGAAGACACAGCUGUUAAUUACUGUGCAUGA